rnacentral:sRNA from 1 species
CAAUAACAGUGUCAUUACGCCGUGUAUCCGGUUUGUAGAAGAAUACCGUCCUGCUCAGUGAUAAUGUCCUGCAUGCCUGACGUGUGCUCAUUGUAAACUGCGAAAUCAGAUAAUGGGCGAGCUCACGCUUUAUCACUGGUUUU